AGUGAACGCUGGCGGUAGGCCUAACACAUGCCAGUCGAACGGCAGCACAGUAAGAGCUUGCUCUUACGGGUGGCGAGUGGCGGACGGGUGAGGCAUACAUCGGAAUCUACUUUUUCGUGGGGGAUAACGUAGGGAAACUUACGCUAAUACCGCAUACGACCUACGGGUGAAAGCAGGGGAUCUUCGGACUUUGCGCGAUUGAAUGAGCCGAUGUCGGAUUAGCUAGUUGGCGAGGUAAAGGCCCACCAAGGCGACGAUCCGUAGCUGGUCUGAGAGGAUGAUCAGCCACACUGGAACUGAGACACGGUCCAGACUCCUACGGGGGGCAGCAGUGGGGAAUAUUGGACAAUGGGCGCAAGCCUGAUCCAGCCAUACCGCGUGGGUGAAGAAGGCCUUCGGGUUGUAAAGCCCUUUUGUUGGGAAAGAAAAGCAGCAUGUUAAUACCCCGCUGUUCUGACGGUACCCAAAGAAUAAGCACCGGCUAACUUCGUG
rnacentral:rRNA from 1 species